AUUGAACGCUGGCGGCAGGCCUAACACAUGCAAGUCGAACGAGUGGCGGACGGGUGAGUAAUGUCUGGGAAACUGCCUGAUGGCGGGGGAUAACUACUGGUAACGGUAGCUAAUACCGCAUACCAUCGGAUGUGCCCAGAUGGGAUUAGCUAGUAGGUGGGGUAACGGCUAACCUAGGCGACGAUCCCUAGCUGGUCUUAGAGGAUGACAAGCCACACUGGAACUGAGGCACGGUCCAGAAUCCUACGGGAGGCAGAAGUGGGGAAUAUUGCACAAUGGGCGCAAGCCUGAUGGAGCCAUGCCGCGUGUAUGAAGAAGGCCUUCGGGUUGUAAAGUACUUUCAGCGGGGAGGCGUUACCCGCAGAAGAAGCACCGGCUAACUCCGUGCCAGCCGCCGCGGUAAUUC
rnacentral:rRNA from 1 species